rnacentral:rRNA from 1 species
CCGAUGAGGUGGAAACGGACAGAGCUGGCGUAUCUGGCCUGCAUUCAGCCGCCGCGCGUCGGGCCCCGGUUUGCCGCACUCCAGAUUGGGAAGGUGGCUGGGCUGCUGGCGUGCUGGUGGUGCAUUUGCAGGUGGAGUGCGCUGAGGCGCUCGGCUCAGCGGCAUGAGCUCGGCUUUGAGGCCAACGUGCAAGCGGUCUGGUACCCGGGUCGGGGGAGUGUUGUUUGGGCUGAGUGUUCGCUUGGGCACUGGUUUCGGGCCCGGGUGGGUGCCGAGCUGGCGGUCGACGGCGGUCGCAUGCGACACGUGUCAGCAGUCAGUUCGGUCCUGCUCGAGCUCUCAUGUGUCCGGCCUCGGUGUAAAAGCCGGUCAUCUGUCCGACCCGUCUUGAAACACGGACCAAGGAGUUUAGCGUGUGCGCGAGUCAUUGGGCGUUGAAAACCCAAAGGCGCAAUGAAAGUGAAGGUCUGCCUUGUGCAGCUGAUGUGUGAUCCUGGGCGCUGCGGUGCCCGGGCGCAACAUAGUCCCGUCCCGACUGCAUGCAGUGGGGCGGAGACAGAGCGUACGCGCUGAG